rnacentral:misc_RNA from 1 species
AAGUCGUAACAAGGUUUCCGUAGGUGAACCUGCGGAAGGAUCAUUAACAAAUUCAAAACUCGUGUUUGGCUUGUUGCAGCAUGCGUGAAGGUAAGGGUAAUUCCUGCCUGAGCGUAUGUGGUGACAAGUCAGCUUAUACACAAAACUUACAUUUACUAUAACAAUACAACCAAAGGAAAUCCGAAAUGAUUAAAUUGUAAACAACUUUUAACAAUGGAUCUCUAGGCUCUU